GAUGAAGAACGUAGCGAAAUGCGAUAAGUAAUGUGAAUUGCAGAAUUCAGUGAAUCAUCGAAUCUUUGAACGCACAUUGCGCCCGCUAGUAUUCUGGCGGGCAUGCCUGUUCGAGCGUCAUUUCAACCAUCAAGCCCCCAGGGGCUUGUGCUGGGGCCCUGCGGCUGCCCGCAGGCCCUGAAAACCAGUGGCGGGCUCGCUAGUCACACCGAGCGCAGUAGCACAUCUCGCUCAGGGCGUGCGGCGGGCUCCUGCCGUGAAACCCCCCACUGUAACCCCAAAGGUUGACCUCGGAUCAGGUAGGAAUACCCGCUGAACUUAAGCAUAUCAAUAAGCGGAGGA
rnacentral:misc_RNA from 1 species